GGGUUCCCCCAGGCAAUCAAAUUUCACCAGGCAUUUUGGUUUAGAGUCUGUGACGACUCCGACCUUAAAAAUUGGCCUCCUAGGCAAUGUAGACCAAAGUGCAAUUGACCAAGUGUCGUAGGGUUCAGGCAAUAGGGUUCCCCCAGGCAAUCAAAUUUCACCAGGCAUUUUUGGUUUAGAGUCUGUGACGAUCCGAUUAAAAAUUGCCUCAGGCAAAGUAGAGUUAGUUCCGCCCUAGUUCUGACCGCCCUAGUUCUGACCGUAAACGAUGCCAACUAGCGAUCCGCCGAUGGAAAUUAUAUUGCCUUGGUGGGGAGCUUCCCGGAAACGAAAGUCUUCCGGUUCCGGGGGAAGUAUGGUUGCAAAGCUGAAACUUAAAGGAAUUGACGGAAGGGCACCACCAGGAGUGGAGCCUGCGGCUUAAUUUGACUCAACACGGGGAAACUCACCCGGCCCGGACACUGUGAGGAUUGACAGAUUGAUAGCUUUUUCAUGAUUCAGUGGAUGGUGGUGCAUGGCCGUUCUUAGUUCGUGGAGUGAUUUGUCUGGUUUAUUCCGAUAACAAGCGAGACUCUAACCUACUAAAUAGCUGGUACAUAAUUUAAGUGUAUACAGCUUCUUAGAGGGAUUUGCGGUGUUCAGCCGAAAGAAAUUGAGCAAUAACAGGUCUGUGAUGCCCUUAGAUGUCCGGGGCUGCACGCGCGCUACACUGGCAAAAUCAACGUGCUUGUCCUACCCCGAAAGGGGCGGGUAAACCAUUGAAAAUUUGCCGUGAUUGGGAUCGGAAAUUGCAAUUAUUUUCCGUGAACGAGGAAUUCCAAGUAAGUGCGAGUCAUCAGCUCGCGUUGAUUACGUCCCUGCCCUUUGUACACACCGCCCGUCGCUGCCCGGGACUGAGCCAUUUCGAGAAAUUUGGGGACCGUUGAUUUAAUUUUUCUAAAUUACUUUGAUGGAAACCAAUUUAAUCGCAGUGGCUUGAACCGGGCAAAAGUCGUAACAAGGUAGCUGUAGGUGAACCUGCUGCUG
rnacentral:rRNA from 1 species